rnacentral:lncRNA from 1 species
AGCUUAGGGGCUACACGUGAUAAAAAAAAUGAAAAAAAAUAAUAAAAGAUUAAGAAAUGCAAGUAUAGAAAAAUAUUUCGAUGUAUUUUAUUGAUCAUGAACAUGUAUAAUAGACAAGAAUUACAAAUUGCAUAUUAGGAAACUAAUUAUGCCUAAUCAAUACAAAUAUUCUCUUUUUAAUAUAUUAUCGGUGUACAAUAUAUUUUUCAAAUAUAUGUGUAUGCUGUCAUG